rnacentral:rRNA from 1 species
GUGGGGAAUAUUGCACAAUGGGGGAAACCCUGAUGCAGCGACGCCGCGUGGAGGAAGAAGGUCUUCGGAUUGUAAACUCCUGUUGUUGAGGAAGAUAAUGACGGUACUCAACAAGGAAGUGACGGCUAACUACGUGCCAGCAGCCGCGGUAAAACGUAGGUCACAAGCGUUGUCCGGAAUUACUGGGUGUAAAGGGAGCGCAGGCGGGAAGACAAGUUGGAAGUGAAAUCCAUGGGCUCAACCCAUGAACUGCUUUCAAAACUGUUUUUCUUGAGUAGUGCAGAGGUAGGCGGAAUUCCCGGUGUAGCGGUGGAAUGCGUAGAUAUCGGGAGGAACACCAGUGGCGAAGGCGGCCUACUGGGCACCAACUGACGCUGAGGCUCGAAAGUGUGGGUAGCAAACAGGAUUAGAUACCCGAGUAGUCC